rnacentral:rRNA from 1 species
AGAGUUUGAUCCUGGCUCAGGAUGAACGCUGGCGGCGUGCUUAACACAUGCAAGUCGAGCGAAGCACUUAAGUUUGAUUCUUCGGAUGAAGACUUUUGUGACUGAGCGGCGGACGGGUGAGUAACGCGUGGGUAACCUGCCUCAUACAGGGGGAUAACAGUUAGAAAUGACUGCUAAUACCGCAUAAGACCACAGGGUCGCAUGACCCGGUGGUAAAAACUCCGGUGGUAUGAGAUGGACCCGCGUCUGAUUAGCUAGUUGGUGGGGUAACGGCUCACCAAGGCGACGAUCAGUAGCCGACCUGAGAGGGUGACCGGCCACAUUGGGACUGAGACACGGCCCAAACUCCUACGGGAGGCAGCAGUGGGGAAUAUUGCACAAUGGGGGAAACCCUGAUGCAGCGACGCCGCGUGAAGGAUGAAGUAUUUCGGUAUGUAAACUUCUAUCAGCAGGGAAGAAAAUGACGGUACCUGACUAAGAAGCCCCGGCUAACUACGUGCCAGCAGCCGCGGUAAUACGUAGGGGGCAAGCGUUAUCCGGAUUUACUGGGUGUAAAGGGAGCGUAGACGGCAUGGCAAGUCUGAAGUGAAAGCCCGGGGCUCAACCCCGGGACUGCUUUGGAAACUGUCAGGCUAGAGUGCUGGAGAGGUAAGUGGAAUUCCUAGUGUAGCGGUGAAAUGCGUAGAUAUUAGGAGGAACACCAGUGGCGAAGGCGGCUUACUGGACAGUGACUGACGUUGAGGCUCGAAAGCGUGGGGAGCAAACAGGAUUAGAUACCCUGGUAGUCCACGCCGUAAACG